GUCUACAGCCAUACUACCUGAAUGCACCCGAUCUUGUCUGAUAUCAGAAGCUAAGCAGGGUCGGGCCUGGUUAGUACUUGGAUGGGAGACCACCUAGGAAUACCAGGUGCUGUAGGUG
rnacentral:rRNA from 1 species